AUGUCACACCCAUUGUUCCUGGUCUGCUUCCAUGGGUAUUGUUUAAAACUAGGGCAUGAUAACUUUUCUCCCAGAAACACGUCCUCCACUUCUGCAUUUUCCUUUCUGCUCAAUAUGACAAAGAGAACAGCUUGUUUUGGGGCUCAGCGGUUUCAAAGUUGGAACCGAGUUGGUUUUGAUCAUUUGUUUUUCUUCCUGCUUCUUGGAACCAUAUCUGUCGGUGCCUUAGGAGGGUCUGACCCAUGGAGAGGAGCCGCCUCCGGGUCACUGGAGGAUCAGCCACUCCUGCAGCUUUCCUCCACCACAGUCUUACCGAUGCGUCUGCAGAGUCCGCAUAACACCAACACGACAGAAAACACUGUCAGAAAAAGAAGGUCUUCCUCCACUGACACUGAUGUUUUGCCUCCAACGUUCCUGACUGCUGCUGAUCUUCCUUUUCUCAGAGAUCUGGUAUCAGACAAGAAGUUCACAGGUUGUGCAAUUUUUAUCACACUUCCUCUCUCGACUUAAAAAGAUGUAAUCUGUCAACAGCUGCUAAGAAGACCAAUUGCUAUUAAUGCUUUGUUGUUGCUUUCACUUUUCUUGUGUGUCAUUUCACUACAGAGCAAAAUCAGCCCUUAGACAUGUAUAUUAGUAUUUCUGUAUGUUUCAGUUAACACUCAAAGAUCUAGACAGCUGACGACACUUAAAAUAGCUAUUGUUCUUAAUUGUUUAAUAAGUUUUGAACAGCCAAUCCUAUCCCAAUGCUUCAAAAACACAUGCAAAACAGAAUGCCCCAGCUUUUCAGUGGUAUCACAUGACUUGUUUGAGCAUUCAGUUCAGAGCAACCAUAGUAAAUGUGAUCAUGCCAUCACAGAGUGCAGCAUCGAUUCGUCAUGGAAACCCACAUAGUUUCUUCCUCUGGGCAGGCAAUGGUUGUAGCCAGGGUCCUUUCUGAACUACCCUCUGAACCUUUAUGGACACAUGGUCAGUAAAAACAAUGAAGGAUUAUACCUUUUAUUUUAUUUGAUUUUGUUAACAGGAAGAUAUCAUAGUCAUUGGCUGGAACCUGCUUAGGAAUGGUCAGAUGUUGCCAAAUGUAUACACAGCAGUCUAAGUUCAUGUUUUGAAAUAAAAUCCUGAUCCCUUUUAAAAAAAAUGGUCUGGUCUUGCAUAGCACUUUUCCAGUCUACUGACAGUUCAAAGCGCUUUACAGUACACAUUCACCCAUUCACACCCAUAUUCAUACACUGAUGACGAAGGCUCCCAUGCCAACUGCUCGUCAGGAGCAAUUUAAGGUUCAGUAUCUUGCUAGAGGGAGCCGGGUUUCGAACCAGUGACCUUCCAAUCACUAGACGACCCGCUCUACACACUGAGCCACAUCCAUCCAUUCUCAGACUAAGCAAAUAUAAACUGAGACUUUCAAUGUGCCAGACUGAAACUUAAGCUUCCUCAAUCAGAUGAUAUAUGGCACCUGUUGCUGCCCGCUAGAAUAGGGAAGGGAAAUCAAGAUAAAUGCAGGAGACACGCUCCCCGAAAAACUAUUCUGUCUUCGAGUGUUAAUUUAAAACUUUCGGUCAAUUGAGAAAAGCUGUGGCGGAGUCGUAUCAGCUGAAAUUGUGAUUCUAAGUAUAUCCUACGCCAAACCUGACGGCUGCACUAUUUUAGUGAACAUUUCAGUGGACUCUGGUAUAGUUCACAACCUACCUGAUGUUUAAAGAUACACUUAUCUCCACCCACCUGGUACUACCUAUCCCUUUGCUGAUAAGAGUUUUUUUUUUUUUUUUUUUUUUUUUUAUGAAUAUAAAAUAAAAGAUAUGUGUUCCUGGAGGAUGAUACCGGUACAUGUACUGUUUUUGACUAUCUUUAAAGAGCAACAACACACUUAAUCAAAAGCACCCUCCACUCUUCAGGCCGAACACCUGCACUUCUGUGUCACUUGGCGUGGCAGGGACAGAUGUGCACUCACACAGUUUUCAGCCACAAGGUGGCAGCAAAAGAAAGACUUUAAGCUACUUUUUAAAUGUGACUCUUUUAAGCCAAAGCAACAGAAGUUUUCACCUUUUCCUUCAGGUUAUAUUAACUGUGCGGGUGUUAAAGCCUGAACAGCCUUUAGUUUGUCUCACAUUACCAGACCCAUCUACACACUGUGUUUGCACUGUGGCAACACAGCAGGAAAGUGAAAAAAAGAAUUACAGGGUUUAGUGAUUUUUUUUUUAACUAAUGAGGAAGAGGGUAAUGUUGUUGAACGGGUACAGAAACUGUGGCUUUGAGGGCGAGAGGAGGUAGAUAGAGUGUGUAGACAGCUGUUGGGAGGUUUUCCACAGCCGCCCACAUCCCUACAGUCAGUCCAUUGUGGGACACGAAAAUAUGAAACUAGUUGUUUUUUUGUUUGUACUUUAAUGAUUUAUUCUUAAAAGAAAGGACAUUGUGUGCUAUGUGAAUGAACUGUGGCUUGUCUUGACUCCAUAAGGGGGAAAUGCUGGAAUAUACAGGCUUGAUUUUAUUUACAAAAUGUUAUAAAAGAACAAGAUGAGAGAUUAAAAAAAAAAAAAUGAAAAGAAACAGCUGUUUUUAAUAAUAACUUGAAUAAUAAACAUCCUUCAGCAUACCAGAGAUAACUAGAAUGGUACGCAGUAGAGCGCAUACCUCUGCCAAGGCCCAACAGUCCUCUUUAAUUCAAUCAAACCUAUAUGACACAUUUCAAACCACCCAUUAACCUCAUUAUUCCAGGCAUUAUUUGCUGAGAAAUUAAUCAAAAUGUUGUAAAAUGCCCAAUCUUGCAAUGUUUAAAGCUGCUGUAAGUGUUUGGCAAUUCUCUGCCUUAGUUUGUUCACACAGAACAAAGAAGUGCCGGCGUGAAGCCGCACCAGUGUGUCAUUUGCUUUUUUCUUUUCUUAAAAUGUUUUUCAUGACUUUGCCUGUAUGAGCCAUCACCGGGGAGCACUUGGUAGGUUGAUCCUGCUCUGUGCGUGUUCACGAGCAGACAGGGCCGCCUCUUUAUGGAGAUCUCUGUCCUGAUUGGAGAAAGUGGGCAGGGGUACCAUAACAUUCAUUUUCUCCUUCACUGUGUGAGUGGAGGGAGGAGACACAUGUAUAUAACAGUGAUUACUGUUGAAAAUUGAGCUAUUUAACACUUACUUUAAUUGAAAUAUAUAUAUUGCUUCCAGCUGCUUCAAUGUGUACUUUCAGACACAUUUAAACGUAUUAAAUAUUAUCAAACUAUAAUUUCGGAGGUCCUCCUAGUGGUCACUGCUCCCCUGUUGAAGACCCGGGCUUUAUAUUAUCACUGUGAUGUGACAGCCAUGUGAUUCAAACUAACACUUUGCUUUUUUUCAGUUCGUUUAGGUCUUCACGUCUCUCUCACCGGUUGGAGUGAGCAUCUUGACCCUCAGCUUCUCCUGUCCAAGUACAAAGAGGUCAGAAGGUUAACACACCUAGAUAACUUUAAAGACAUAUAGAUGUGUAUCGCGUACUUCAAAUUCACAAUUACCAGGCAGAUUUCACCUUCAAUGUUAUGACUUGAGUGAGAGCUCCCACAGUUUCCCCCUGUGCAGAUAUCAUGAUCAGAGGGAUCAUAGAUGCAACGGAUGACACGAUCCUAAAGAAAAAAAAUAACUAAAUGUGUCUGCAAUAAAGCAAAAGCUGCUCUAGGCCCUACUUUCUGGUCUUGUGUUAAAAUUGUCCCUUUUUUGGCAGGAUUUCUUUUGUUGGUAUCGCAAAACUUAUGAUCAAAAUGAUAUGAUCGAACCUAAUGCAUGGUGGUUUUUCCAAAGCCUUUCUUUCACUGUCACAUAGUGUGCGGCAGACUCUUAUGUUCAGUAUGUUUGUAGCAAAGAGAAUAAUUCUAAAGGAAUGGAAGGCUACCACUACUCAUUGUUUUUCAUCUCAGGGACACAUCUUGAAAGGCUCCAUAGCAACACAGGUGGGUUUUUGUGAAAUAUUUGAAAGUAUGUGGGGGUCAAUUAUUAGACAUUUGAAUUCUCCUGAAUCUUAGUGGAGGUCCCUGCUAUGUUAUGUCUGUGUGGGAUGUUCUUUGACAUGUGUUUUUUAGGCUGAAACUGUAUAUAUGUCUCCGUCUGGCCUGACUUUCUGUGGUCAUCAUCUUUUUAUUGCUGUCGUUGCUGUGCUUUUGAAUGUGGGAAAUGUGUGCGUAUGGUAGUUGAUUUGAAAAUGAGGGAUUACAGAUGUGAUCAACUGCAAUAUUAAAGUCAUCACCGGUGAAGUGUUAGCUCUGUCAGUCAGUUGGAUAUGAUGAUGCAAGUGCAUUCUGUUUGAAGAAACGCCAAACAACAAACACACCCACCUCCUCCACUAAUCAAUGAUCAGCCAGUCUAAAGGUUGAAGGCAGAGGUUUUGGCUUUGGUCAGACUUUAUGGUUUAUCAUUUAUUCAUCGACAAACAUUGAGUCCAGCCCACACGGACUCUGCAAGCUGAAGUUAUUUCAUCUGUAUUUCAGCUCACAAACUCUGCGGCAUUUCAGACUGACAGCACCUUUUAAUUAAAGAACAGGCAUGUGUGGAUUAAAGGAUUAGAGUCUGGAGAGCUCAACAGCCUGAUGGAGUGGUGGUGGUGGGGAGGGGGGUUUGAGGGUGAAAGGCAUUUUUGGGUCUUAGAAAGAAGUCGAGUGUAGCUUCAGCUGAUUUAAGAACUAUGCCGAAAAAGCAGGUUUGUCAAGUGAGGCACUCUUGUUGAAGCUGGUGCUCACAACUGUCCUUUCUUUGUUUCUUUGAGCAGCCAGGCAUCUACAACACUGGAGAGAAGGCAGGAGUCUUUACAAUGAGAGUGCUGGGAGUGACCAGAGUGACCUCCUCACCCUGAUUUCAUCAUCCAGCCCUGGAUCUGCAGAAAUUCAUGACAAAUUAAUAAUUUCACUCUCUGCUCUUUCUUCUUGAAGCCCAUGGUGUCGUUGUUGUGGGUGUGAUGUUGUUAGCCAUCACUGUUUUGUGUUACUGAUCAAUUAAAGAUUAACGUUAUUAUCUUGAAACGAGCCUGUGAUAUGUGUGGUAGUUGACAGUUGGUCCCGCCCACUAAACUGACCGGCCAAUAGAAAUAGACGCUGAGUCUUUAUCCCCACCCUCUAUGCUGGGGAUCACGUUGACCGUGACGAAGUUUCUCUGCACUUCACCGGUCGCGAAGGUGGCGGCACAGUGUAUGGUUUAACGGUUCGUUGGAAAUA
rnacentral:lncRNA from 1 species